rnacentral:rRNA from 1 species
AGGGUUUGAUCAUGGCUCAGAACGAACGCUGGCGGCAGGCCUAACACAUGCAAGUCGAGCGCGCCCUUCGGGGUGAGCGGCGGACGGGUUAGUAACGCGUGGGAAUAUGCCCAAAGGUACGGAAUAGCCUCUGGAAACGGAGAGUAAUACCGUAUGUGCCCUUCGGGGGAAAGAUUUAUCGCCUUUGGAUUAGCCCGCGUUGGAUUAGGUAGUUGGUGGGGUAAUGGCCUACCAAGCCUACGAUCCAUAGCUGGUUUGAGAGGAUGAUCAGCAACACUGGGACUGAGACACGGCCCAGACUCCUACGGGAGGCAGCAGUGGGGAAUCUUGGACAAUGGGGGCAACCCUGAUCCAGCCAUGCCGCGUGAGUGAAGAAGGCCCUAGGGUCGUAAAGCUCUUUCGCCAGGGAAGAUAAUGACGGUACCUGGUAAAGAAACCCCGGCUAACUCCGUGCCAGCAGCCGCGGUAAUACGGAGGGGGUUAGCGUUGUUCGGAAUUACUGGGCGUAAAGCGCACGUAGGCGGAUUAGUCAGUUAGAGGUGAAAUCCCAGGGCUCAACCCUGGAACUGCCUUUAAUACUGCUAGUCUUGAGUUCGAGAGAGGUGAGUGGAAUUCCGAGUGUAGAGGUGAAAUUCGUAGAUAUUCGGAGGAACACCAGUGGCGAAGGCGGCUCACUGGCUCGAUACUGACGCUGAGGUGCGAAAGCGU